UGGUGUGGCUCAAUGGUAGAGCAGCUGACUUGUAAUCAGCAGGUUGUAGGUUCGAUUCCUAUCACC
rnacentral:tRNA from 2 species